AAGAACGCGAGAUAAAAAAAAAAAAAAGAAAAGAAAAGCCCGAAACAAAAAUUACCAAGACUUUGGAGAAACGGCUCUCAGGGAAAGCUGCUGGUUUGCAAAGCCGCGCUGCCCCGUGCCCACGGCGCAGAGUCCCGCAGAGGGAGCUGCCCGCGGGAGCCGCAAACUCUCCUGCGGCCUCCUGUGCGGCCGCAGCAAGUUGUCGUUGCUCCUUACGCUGAAUUUUCCACCGUCAGUUUUCCUUGGAGACCGUUUUUGCACGCGUUUCCUCAUCGCCUGGACGAGACCGAGACAAAUGGGAAGUCGGGGCGUUAGGAUAACUCGGCUCAACGCAAUGAGCCCAGCUGAAAAAAUGGGGAAAAAUAGUGCCAGGUGACCGGGAUGGAGAUUUAAAUGGCAAAGCAGAGUAUCCCGCACCAGCUCCAAAUCCAGCACAAUAAAUAAUCCUCAAAAUAAACUGGCAGGGACUGGCGGGCCUGCGGGGCGAAAGGCGAGGGGUGGCAGGCAAAGAGGCUGUGCCACAACACAGCCCCUUUGGGAAGACGUGUGGAGAUGCACGAGUGCAAACGCGGACAUAUGUUGUACAUUUAUACACAACUAACUUUUAUGCAGUACGUAAAAUUUGCAAGCAUUUAACUUGGCAGAGGAUGAACGGCAAAGCCACAAGACGCGCCGACAAAACGCCGCGCGGCGGCGCCCGUUUUGCUGGGUUUCCCGCGUUUUCCGGCGGGCAGGUACCGCGGUGAGCAGGUUGAAAGGGCCAACGCGGGGUUUAAGGAAGAACGAGAUGGACGGCAAGGGCGACAAGCCCGCGACACCGGCCCUUUAAAUUUCCAGCCGUGAGCGCCGGGUUUGUGAAUGAGUCUGCGGCUGCCAGCUACUUUGGUGGAAAAAAGCCUGGCUAAUAACGUGGGAAAAGGGAAGGGAAUAAAACCCGGCGAGCGCCCGGGCCGCGCUUCCACUAGCGGAAACGGCAAAGUCAAAACAGACACGGUGCAACUCCCCGGUCCGUGCACUAAGCACGUCGGCAGCGCUCGCCGCGUGGCUUCACCUCAGCGUGAUAAACCACCUCCUUGCGCCCCGUCGCCGCCCGUCAGCGGCUGGGAGUCGCUUCUCCGCUCAGGACACGGCCCAGGCUGCCGGGACGUCAGCCCGCGGCCCCGGCAACGCUUCGGUCGGUUUUAAGACGUCGUAACUGGCUGAUAAAUGGCCCCCUCCGAACGCCGGAGGAACUUUUAAUUUAGCGAAAACCAAAAAUCCUCUCAUUUCUACGGCUCGGCCCUGGAGCCGCUGCCUACGGGGAGGGCGAAGGAAAGCGGGAGCGGACGCGCAGCGGCGCGGGGGGACGGCACGGGGGGCCGCAGCCCCGCGCUGCCUCUCUUUUUGGCGUCCGAAGAAACCAUUUAAACAACAUGCCGAGGCCAGUUACUGCUAUAACGUAAUCCCCGUGGAUAAACAAGAGCUUCUCCGGGGCCCCUUUAAGCCCUGCUGAAACUCGGAUGCCAGAUCGUUACCGCGGCGUGUUUACGCUCGCUUUUAGCUGCAUUUUGCUCUCUGGCUCCCUAAACCUCGGCAGGGAAGGGCCAGCUUAGCUCCCUCGAAGGCUGCGCGGCUUCAAACCGGUGACUGCUGCGGUGGGGGAAGGGGCCGCGCUCUCCGCAGCGCGAUUUGCAGGACCCCCGAUAAAUCAUUUAGCAGCACGGCCGCACGGCGAGCCGCAGCCUCGCAAUCUGCCGAGCCCCGAGAAAUGGGAGCGAUAACAACACGCAAAGGACAAAAAACCGAUGACGAGAUGGACAUCUCCAGAGCCCUCGCGGGGAAAACCAAAAGCCUUUUUUUUUUUAUUAUUUUAAGUCGUAAGGACAAGCGCUGAAAGCAUUUUAAUGGUUGUUUUUCUCAAAGAAAAACAACCUUCUCCCUUUUUGACUGCAGAUUUGGUGACGGCCUCCCUCCGUUCGCCAGCCUCUCGACUCCGUGCCACCCGGUGAUUAACAAAUAUCAGCGAGGACCCCACGAAACGGAUGAAGAACCGAUGGAUUUCACGCAGUAUUUUUCGGUGGGAAUUCAAACAGAGAUGUUUCUCCCACAGGAAACAUUUUGCACUCAAGACUAUUGAUGAAAUCUAAAACUCGGCCAAUUUGGGGAUGUGACAGGUAACAGCAGGGCUGUAGCACGAAUGGUGCCACCGGGCACCAGGUAUGUCCCCGGGACUUCUUUUCUUCCCCUUUUUUAUUGCCUGGGAGAGCCGUUGCGUGCCCUCCCGCGGACCACAGGCCGUUUCUACGGCACGGCUGCCGCGGAGCUGGGCCGGCAGCACCAGGUCACCGGCCACGGGAGGUGCCCAGCGGUGCCGCCACCAAGCCCUCCGCGGAGCUGUGAAUCUGCCGCCACCUUCGGUGAGACAGGCUUGCUCGAACAAAUUGCAUUUAAAUACAGGCGGACGUAAAGCCUAGGCCUGUGGGACGCAACGUCCCAGCCGCGUCCUGGAGAUGGGCAGCAGGAAAACCUGCAAUGACGGCAAAGGGUUUGAGAUCCUCCUGGACGAGCCACUGGACACAAGGUGCCAGGGCAAAGCCAUCCUGAAAAGAGGUAAAAUAAUCCCUGUAUAUCAAAAGAGAGGAGCGGGAGCAGAUUCAGGCACAGACUUUUUAGGGUGCACACAGGCUAGAUGAGGCCAGUGCCUGACAAUGUGCUCAGCUCCAGGGUUCAUUUUUUCAUAAGGAUGUAACAAAAUUGGUGACUGCGCAGAAAAGAGCCACAGAAAUGAUUUAAGAGCUGAAGAAAGUGCUUUACAGUGAGAACCAUAAAGAGCACAAUCUGUUUAGCUUAUCAAAAAGAAGAUUUAGAGGUGGCUUGAUUACGAUGUACCAUUACCUUCGCGGAAAGAAAAUAGUCGGAACUAUAAAGUCCUUUAAUGCGGCAGAUAACAGGAACCGGCAGCUGGGAGCUGAGACAGACAAAUUUGAGAUGGUAGGAAUACGUUUUUAAGAAGAAGGGUGAAAAGCUCUGAACAAACUAUCGCUGCAAGUAAUGAACCCUCCCUCUCUUGGUGUCGUCUGAUGAAGAUAUACAACUUCACCAAGCAGAAGUCGUGUUUUGUCAAACAAGUCAUUGCCAUCUCCCUUAUUUUCAUGAAUGUCGGCAUUUAGAAAUUAUAAUAGCAGAGCAUCUAUAUGGAGCUAAGGGUAAGUGAAAAAUAGAAGAAUAUAUUGAUAUUUUAGCAGAUUUUAAAUGAUUUGUAAAGGUCGUUUGCCCCAAGCCUCCGAUCCAUGUUCUUUGGAAGAAACUUCUCCUAGAACAUAACCUGCUUUCCUUCUGCUCCUUGGAGAAAAGCCGGCAGAGACAGACCAGCGUUUAACAGAUUUUUUCCAGCGCUGCUGCUAUCGAUGGCAAAGAGUGAGAGAUCGGAAAUUCCCCGGGAAGGCUGUCAGGAGCCAGUGGGCACCGGGCGGUGACAGCGAACUUACAAACCAGGAGAAGUCUAACUACACAGGCAGUCCAAAGAAGCUGCAUAGAUGUCCAAGAACAGAAACAGAUCCUGCUCUCGGGGUUUAGAAGUCUCCUUUCAAGAGCAGACGCCUUGGAGACUGAAAAUGUCGCCUGACUUCCCGUAGCUGUGCUUGAGCUUCACAUCCCAGGGGAACGAAGGCAGCACUGAAACCCAAGGCUGGACAGGAACUGCAAGGUGCAGCUGGAAUCACAGAGCUCUGGAUGGGAAAAGAGCAGGGAGUCAAACUGUGAUGGAGUCAGCUAGGGAAGAAGCUGAAAAAACGGCCGGACCAGCAAACCGACGCUCAAGGAAACCCUGUCCAGGUUCGGUGUUACGUGAUGGACACUUGAGAAGGAGGCACUUGAGCUUCCUACUGGGAUUCUGUAGCCAGCCGGAGGGUUUCCUGACAUGCCAAAGGACUGACUGUGCCCGUGUUAAUUGAAAUGGAUUUCCCGUGGCAGCAGGAAUCGUUCCCUGCCUCCCUCACCGCGAGGGGCCGGGUAGGAGCUGAAGUCACGAGUCGUGCUGCCGCGGGAGAAGCGGCCUACGAGAUGAAGGGCUGGGGAUCUCCCCGGUGCUUGGAUCCGGCGCCUGCGCAGGGAGCACUGGGGCCAGCAGGGCUUCUCCGUAGGGAUCUGUUCUUGCCGGGAGCGCUGGGCUUCGGAGCCAGCUCCGCUCCUUGCUCUGGUGGGCACAGCGGCUGUUGUCCCUGGUCUCCUGAGCAAGCGUUCGCCUACAAAUCCCGCAGGCACGCUUCCGGAGGCCUCCCGCUUUCCAAAGGAGCACUAAAUCAGACGAACCAUGACUUCACGCUGCGCGGGCCGGAGGCUGUUUUCCCCCCGGUUUUCUUUCGCUUCUAGCAGCCGUCGUCCUCCUUCAACCCGCCAACCUCCUAGAUGCUUUAGCAAAGUGCCUCAAAUCUGCAAGCAACGUUAUUUGCUAGACUAUCAACACUCCCCAUCAAUAACGAAACUAAAAACGCAGCUUAAUAGACAACGAGGCUACAGCAGCUGGCAGUGCCGCACAAAUCUGGCGCUCUCGCUGCCGAGUUUAUUAGACGUUUUAUAGUCCUGGGAACUAAAGAUAAUGGAUCCCGCUCCCAUAUGCUGCAUCAACAGGAGCAGGGACUCCGUUGUGCCACUGAUCUACGAGGCAGCAGUGAAUAAGACCCAGGCACAAGUACGAAAAUGAAUCAGUCCUAAGCUGUUAAAGAGACACCAUGAAGCACUUUCCCAGUUUUCAGUUCUUGCUUUCUGAUCUCCAUCCGAUGAAAUGCUCUCCCAAGGGCUCUUAACUACAGUAGUUUGCCGCAGACUUUGGGGUCAGGGUAAGAGGAGCUGCCCCUGCGCGUGGAGAACAGUGCUGACAUUUAGAGCCGAUUACCCUUAGCAGGCGCUUGUCAGCUCCACCCGUCCCCGAGGCAGCAAAAGCCUUUGGGGGGAAACUUUCCUUUUUCCUAAGCGCUGUGCAAUUAUGGUCCUACAGGCUUCAGAGCAAUAUGCACGACAGGGUUUGCAAGGUUAGUCUCCUCGGGUGACUAGAAAACAAACUUAGGUUUGUUUCCGAGCACGGAAAACUAAAUAUGUGCAGCUCGGAGAAUAGCUUACAAUGUAUUUUUAAAAGCUCGAAAUAGGCUGUAUUCUGAACCUGGCACUUACUGAGUCCUACUCGGGUGCUAACAUGCAGCAUCUCCUCUUUCUGGUACGUGAAGGGCCCAGGGUUGCUGCAGUCUCAAACCAAUCUACAUUGAACCUACACACCGUGUGCUCUGUUUUAGC